AGAAGGAUCUGUUUCUCAACAUGUUCAUUUGGUUCAUAGAGUAGGACUAUUAGAAACUGUCAGAUGACAAAGUGUCCACAGUUAGCAAGGACUUAUGUUCACUGUUAAGUCAUGCAAAGUCUUAGUUCCAGGAUUUUUGAAUGAAGAUGAUGUACAACUGCUGAGGUUAUUUGUAAGUUAGUUUGAGUGCCGAAUCGUUCGUGCUGCAUCGGAAGAUCAUUUAGUCCGUGUAAAACCUCUCUAGCUUAACCUAUGGAUGUCAUUCAUCUUUUUCCAUAAAAUGAGCUUGGGAACAGGUGGACUGCAGGAGCAACUAGCUUCCUAUAUUGAACUCCCGGCCCUGAUGAAAAAAAGAGUAGGGAAUAAGCUUCAUAAAAAGGAAUUUUAAGGCCAGAAAAGGAAGGUAAGACUGAUCUUGUAAAGAUGACAGGGAAGAUGGCAGUAUAUAUUUAAAGAAAACAAUUUAAUCGAUCUAUCAAAAUUGAAUGUUGGAAAGUUUCGAAGAUGAUCUAAAUUGACAGAGUAUUAUGUCUUUUGUUCUGAUAAAGAUAUACUGGUAGAGGUUUGCUUUCAGCAUUUUAGUAUGUGAGAAGGUACCAGGUUUCCAGCCGGUAGGAAAUCCGAGCUUUUAUUGUAGUCAUCAAAUCUUGGUCUUUGAGGAUUCUGGUAACUCUACUUCUCAUCUUUUUCGGGUGUCAUUCAAACUCGUAUAAUAUAUUCAACUUGUGAUGUUUCCUACUUAUACAUGAGUGCCUAACUGCUAUUUAUUCUUAUACAUGCCUGAUAUGUUGAUAUUAUAGAGAAUUUAAAUGUUUUUUUUUGUAAUUGAUGUUGAUUU